CAUCGCAAGAUGGCGGGAUGGGUGAGCAGAAGUCAGCCGAGGCCGUAGUAGCUGCUCGAAACCGGAGCAAUGAAGGGC
rnacentral:ncRNA from 1 species